rnacentral:rRNA from 1 species
UCCGAAGGGGGCUAGCGUUGUUCGGAUUUACUGGGCGUAAAGCGCAUGUAGGCGGGUCGUUAAGUCGGGGGUGAAAGCCCAGAGCUCAACUCUGGAACUGCCUUCGAUACUGGCGACCUGGAGCAGGUCAGAGGCGAGUGGAAUUGCGAGUGUAGAGGUGAAAUUCGUAGAUAUUCGCAGGAACACCAGUGGCGAAGGCGACUCGCUGGGACUUUGCUGACGCUGAGAUGCGAAAGCGUGGGGAGAAAACAGG